rnacentral:rRNA from 1 species
GACGAACGCUGGCGGCGUGCUUAACACAUGCAAGUCGAGCGGUAAGGCCCUUUCGGGGGUACACGAGCGGCGAACGGGUGAGUAACACGUGGGUGACCUGCCCUCAGCUCUGGGAUAAGCCUGGGAAACCGGGUCUAAUACUGGAUAUGACUCCAUGACGCAUGUUGUGGGGUGGAAAGCCUUGUGCGGCUGAGGAUGGGCCCGCGGCCUAUCAGCUUGUUGGUGGGGUGANGGCCUACCAAGGCGACGACGGGUAGCCGGCCUGAGAGGGCGACCGGCCACACUGGGACUGAGACACGGCCCAGACUCCUACGGGAGGCAGCAGGUGGGGAAUCUUGCGCAAUGGGCGAAAGCCUGACGCAGCGACGCCGCGUGAGGGAUGAC